GAUGAACGCUGGCGGCGUGCCUAAUACACGCAAGUCGAGCGAACGGACGAGAAGCUUGCUUCUCUGAUGUUAGCGGCGGACGGGUGAGUAACACGUGGAUAACCUACCUAUAAGACUGGGAUAACUUCGGGAAACCGGAGCUAAUACCGGAUAAUAUUUUGAACCGCAUGGUUCAAAAGUGAAAGACGGUCUUGCUGUCACUUAUAGAUGGAUCCGCGCGUCAUUAGCUAGUUGGUAAGGUAACGGCUUACCAAGGCAACGAUGCAUAGCCGACCUGAGAGGGUGAGCGGCCACACUUGAACUGACACACCGUCCAGACUCCUCCGCGAGUCAGCAGUAGGGAAUCUUCUGCAAUGGGCGAAAGCCUGACGCAGCCCCCCCGCGUGAGUUAUGAAGGUCUUCGGAUCGUAAAACUCUGUUAUUAGGGAAGAACAUCUGUGUAAGUAACUGUGCACAUCUUGACGGUACCUAAUCAGACCGCCACGGCUAACUACGUG
rnacentral:rRNA from 1 species